CCUACGGGAGGCAGCAGUGGGGAAUUUUGCGCAAUGGGGGCAACCCUGACGCAGCAACGCCGCGUGAGUGAUGAAGGCCUUCGGGUCGUAAAGCUCUGUCAGAGGGGAAGAAAUGCAGGUGGUGAACAACCAUUCUGUUUGACGGUACCCUCAAAGGAAGCACCGGCUAACUCCGUGCCAGCAGCCGCGGUAAUACGGAGGGUGCGAGCGUUGUUCGGAAUUAUUGGGCGUAAAGCGCGUGUAGGCGGUUUGUAAAGUCUGAGGUGAAAGCCCCGGGCUAAACCGGGAAAGUGCAUGGGAUACUGGCAGACUGGAGUACGGGAGAGGAGAGUGAAAUUCCCAGUGUAGGAGUGAAAUCCGUAGAUAUUGGGAGGAACACCGGUGGCGAAGGCGGCUUCCUGGCCACAAGCUGACGCUGAGGUGCGAAAGCCAGGGGAGCGAACGGGAUUAGAUACCCCUGUAGU
rnacentral:rRNA from 1 species